rnacentral:rRNA from 1 species
GGGAAUAUUGGGCAAUGGCGAAAGCCUGACCCAGCAACGCCGCGUGAGUGAAGAAGGCUUUCGGGUUGUAAAGCUCUGUCCUAGGGGACGAAGGAAGUGACGGUACCCAAGGAGGAAGCCCCGGCUAACUACGUGCCAGCAGCCGCGGUAAUACGUAGGGGGCGAGCGUUGUCCGGAAUGACUGGGCGUAAAGGGCGUGUAGGCGGCCGAUUAAGUGUGGAGUGAAAGUCCUGCUUUUAAGGUGGGAAUUGCUUUGCAGACUGGUCGGCUUGAGUGCGGAAGAGGUAAGUGGAAUUCCCAGUGUAGCGGUGAAAUGCGUAGAGAUUGGGAGGAACACCAGUGGCGAAGGCGACUUACUGGGCCGUAACUGACGCUGAGGCGCGAAAGCGUGGGGAGCGAACAGGAUUAGAUACCCUGGUAGUCCACGCUGUAAACGAUGAAUGCUAGGUGUUGCGGGUAUCGACCCCUGCAGUGCCGGAGUAAACGCAAUAAGCAUUCCGCCUGGGGAGUACGGCCGCAAGGUUGAAACUCAAAGGAAUUGACGGGGGCCCGCACAAGCAGUGGAGUAUGUGGUUAA